CCAAUGAUGGAUUUAUGCCCCCUACGUGCCUCCCCCUCGCCAUCAGCAAAAAUCUAGAUGCAUCUCUAAUCCUCUGCUGGACCUCGCUCCUACUGUGUGGUUUGAUUUUGAGGUCAUGUUUCAGAAUUGGAUUUGGUUCUUUGAUCUCAUACCUUAGGUAGUUAGGUUUGCAUUUGCCACUUUCAUUUCCUUUCACACAUUUUUAAUGACCUUCAAAUGAGUUUAUUUUUUAGGAGAAGGCCAGCAUCGAGUAGCAUAUGGUGCCGCAAAGUCAAAGUGUAUUUCGUCAAGCUAAUCAGAUAUGUGUGCUACAGUACCAUUGGACAUUCUUAUCUUCAUCCUCUAUUGGGAACCUGUGUUUCCCAAUCUCUUGCUUUUGUUGCUAAGUUGUGAUAUAACUUUUUGAAACACUAAUAUUUGUGGUAAAUUAUCGUACAAUUGUUGUCUGUAGAGCUCCCGAAACCUGUGUUGAAACUGUUUGCUUAAGAGUUCAACUUCAUUGGGGUCUUUUUCACUAAGAAACUGUUAUAUGCUAGGAGACUUGAUUAACAAUUUGUUAAUAUAUGACAAACCUAAAUACAUUCCUAGUCUAUAGUUAAAUAGUAUAACCAUCACAGAGUCUGACUUGCUCAUAAAUAUAUUGGCUAUAUUUCACUUUGGACCAAUCCAUUAGUCCUAUGUUGCUCCACGAGUGCACUUACUUUUUAGGACUGCGUUUUGCCUAUCAUGCUAAUAAUUGUUUUGGAUGAUGAAUCUAGAUAUGUGUUUCCUCUGCUUACUGCAUGAGACAUCGUCCUGUAUUUAUCUGAACUAUCUAAGUUACAACAAAGAUGUCUUGUAACAAUCUAUCUUAAUUUGCACCAUGUCUAUCUGGCUAUAUAUGUCAUCUAUGUCAGAUUCGACUUUUGUGGUCUCAGUUAUCCAAAACUCUUAGUUGAUUCAACCAUGUUUGAUAUUAUUUACAGGGUAGGAAAUUUUGAUGUAAGUAGGCAAAUUAUUUUAGUAAACGACUACAAGUAUGUGUAAUCAGUUUUCUAUCAUUUUUUU
rnacentral:lncRNA from 1 species